GUUGGGAUGGCUCAGAGGUUAACAGCACUGUCUGCUCUUCCAGAGGUCCUGAGUUCAAAUCCCAGCAACCACA
rnacentral:tRNA from 1 species